UGGAUUAGUGGCGAACGGGUGAGUAACACGUGGGCAAUCUGCCCUGCACUCUGGGACAAGCCCUGGAAACGGGGUCUAAUACCGGAUAUGACGUACUCCUGCAUGGGAUGUGCGUGGAAAGCUCCGGCGGUGCAGGAUGAGCCCGCGGCCUAUCAGCUUGUUGGUGGGGUGAUGGCCUACCAAGGCGACGACGGGUAGCCGGCCUGAGAGGGCGACCGGCCACACUGGGACUGAGACACGGCCCAGACUCCUACGGGAGGCAGCAGUGGGGAAUAUUGCACAAUGGGCGAAAGCCUGAUGCAGCGACGCCGCGUGAGGGAUGACGGCCUUCGGGUUGUAAACCUCUUUCAGCAGGGAAGAAGCGAAAGUGACGGUACCUGCAGAAGAAGCGCCGGCUAACUACGUGCCAGCAGCCGCGGUAAUACGUAGGGCGCAAGCGUUGUCCGGAAUUAUUGGGCGUAAAGAGCUCGUAGGCGGUUUGUCACGUCGGAUGUGAAAGCCCGGGGCUUAACCCCGGGUCUGCAUUCGAUACGGGCAGACUAGAGUGUGGUAGGGGAGAUCGGAAUUCCUGGUGUAGCGGUGAAAUGCGCAGAUAUCAGGAGGAACACCGGUGGCGAAGGCGGAUCUCUGGGCCAUUACUGACGCUGAGGAGCGAAAGCGUGGGGAGCGAACAGGAUUAGAUACCCUGGUAGUCCACGCCGUAAACGUUGGGAA
rnacentral:rRNA from 1 species